GGCACAUAUUUAAAGUAGAGUAGAUUAGAAGGAUCACCUGACCCUACUAAACUACUCUACUUCGAGUUUGUGCCC
rfam:Haemonchus placei strain MHpl1 genome assembly, scaffold: HPLM_scaffold0002122